rnacentral:rRNA from 1 species
GAAGGGGGCUAGCUUUGCUCGGAAUCACUGGGCGUAAAGCGCACGUAGGCGGAUUGCUAAGUCAGGGGUGAAAUCCUGGAGCUCAACUCCAGAACUGCCUUUGAUACUGGCGAUCUCGAGUCCGGGAGAGGUGAGUGGAACUGCGAGUGUAGAGGUGAAAUUCGUAGAUAUUCGCAAGAACACCAGUGGCGAAGGCGGCUCACUGGCCCGGUACUGACGCUGAGGUGCGAAAGCGUGGGGAGCAAACAGG